GAUGAACGCUGGCGGCGUGCCUAAUACAUGCAAGUCGAGCGGACGGACGCGAAGCUUGCUUCGCUGUUGUUAGCGGCGGGCGGGUGAGUAACACGUGGAUAACCUACCUAUAAGACUGGGAUAACUUCGGGAAACCGGCGCUUAUACCGGAUGAUAUUUUGAUCCGCAUUGUUCAAAAGUGAAAGACGGUCUUGCUGUCUCUUAUAGAUGCAUCCGCGCUGCAUUAGCUAGUUGGUAAGGUAACGGCUUACCAAGGCAACGAUGCAUAGCCGAAGGGAUAGGGUGAUCGGCCACACUGGAAGUGAGACAGGGUCCAGAGGACUACGGGAGGCAGCAGUAGGGAAUCUUCCGCAAUGGUCGGAAGCCUGACGGAGCAGGGCGGAGUGAGUGAUGAAGAUCUUCGGAUCGUAAAACUGUGUUAUGAGGUAAGAACAUAUGUGUAAGUAGAUGAAGAGAUCGUGACGGUAACUAAUAAGGAAGCCCCGGCUAACUACGUG
rnacentral:rRNA from 1 species